rnacentral:rRNA from 1 species
AAUCAUUAGAAUGGUAUUAGUUAUGAUCUUUUAAGCUCAAAUAACUUGGCGGUAAAAUAUCUGUAUAGAGGAACCUGUACAUUAAUUGAUAAUCCACGAUAAACUAUACUUUGUAAAUAGUAUUUGUAUAUCUCUAUAUUUUGGAAUGUUUUGUUAAAAUAUUUUCUUUUUCUUAAGAUUUAUGUUAGGUCAAGAUGCAGUUUUUAUAAAGUUUUUAUGGGUUACUUUAAUUUUAAAAUAUUUUAGAAUUAUUUAAUAUUUUGAAAUUGUUAAUUAGGAUUUAUUAGUAAUUUCAAUUAAUUAAUUGUUAUGAAUAUGCACUGUUUUAUGCACA